rnacentral:tRNA from 1 species
UCCCUGGUGGUCCAGUUGUUACGACUUUGCCUUCCAAUGCAGGUGGUGUUGGUUUGAUCCCUAUCCAGGGAG